CGUGCCUAAUACAUGCAAGUCGAACGGUCUUUCUAUGGAAGCUUGCUUCCACUGAGAAGAUAGUGGCGGACGGGUGAGUAACACGUGGGUAACCUGCCCAUAAGAGGGGGGAUAACAUCCGGAAACGGGUGCUAAUACCGCAUAGUUUUCUUGAUCGCAUGAUUGAGAAAGGAAAGACGGCCUUUGUGCUGUCGCUUAUGGAUGGACCCGCGGCGUAUUAGUUAGUUGGUGAGGUAAUGGCUCACCAAGACGAUGAUACGUAGCCGACCUGAGAGGGUGAUCGGCCACAUUGGGACUGAGACACGGCCCAAACUCCUACGGGAGGCAGCAGUAGGGAAUCUUCCGCAAUGGACGAAAGUCUGACGGAGCAACGCCGCGUGAGUGAAAGAAGGUUUUCGGAUCGUAAAACUCUGUUGUCAGAGAAGAACAAGUUGGAGAGUAACUGCUCCAGCCUUGACGGUAUCUGACCAGAAAGCCACGGCUAACUACGUGCCAGCCGCCGC
rnacentral:rRNA from 1 species